AGCAGCCGCGGUAAUUCCAGCUCCAAUAGCGUAUAUUAAAGUUGUUGCAGUUAAAAAGCUCGUAGUUGAAUUUCGGGGUCAGCAGGUCGGUCGUGCCAAUGGUAUGCACUGGCCUUGCUGAUUCCUCCCUCUUGAUGAGCCGUAAUGCCAUUAAUUUGGUGUUGCGGGGAAUCAGGACUGUUACUUUGAAAAAAUUAGAGUGUUUAAAGCAGGCAAGCGCUUGAAUACAUUAGCAUGGAAUAAUGAAAUAGGACGUUCGAUCCUAUUUUGUUGGUUUCUAGGAUUGACGUAAUGAUUAAUAGGGAUAGUUGGGGGCAUUAGUAUUCAAUUGUCAGAGGUGAAAUUCUUGGAUUUAUUGAAGACUAACUACUGCGAAAGCAUUUGCCAAGGAUGUUUUCAUUAAUCAAGAACGAAAGUUAGGGGAUCGAAGACGAUCAGAUACCGUCGUAGUCUUAACCAUAAACUAUGCCGACUAGGGAUCGGAUGAUGUUAAUUUUUUAAUGACUCA
rnacentral:rRNA from 1 species